ACCAGCGUGGUAUAGUGGUUUGAGCGUUAGAUUAUGAAUCUGGAGACCUGGGUUCGACUCCCUGCUUGGCC